UUAUUCUUAACUUUUUUAUAAACAUAAAUGAAAUGACGACCUAUAUAUCCAGAAUGUAACUUUAUUAGAUCAAUAUUUCGCUAUUUCAGCUUCGUCAGGA